rnacentral:rRNA from 1 species
GAUUGACCUCGGAUCAGGUAGGGAUACCCGCUGAACUUAAGCAUAUCAAUAAGCGGAGGAAAAGAAACCAACAGGGAUUGCCUCAGUAACGGCGAGUGAAGCGGCAACAGCUCAAAUUUGAAAUCUGGCCGCCAUGGCGGCCCGAGUUGUAAUUUGUAGAGGAUGUUUCGGGCGCGGUACCGGCCUAAGUUCCUUGGAACAGGGCGUCAUAGAGGGUGAGAAUCCCGUCUGCGGCCGGCCUCCAAGCCCACACGAAACCCCUUCGACGAGUCGAGUUGUUUGGGAAUGCAGCUCAAAAUGGGUGGUAAAUUUCAUCUAAAGCUAAAUACCUGCCAGAGACCGAUAGCGCACAAGUAGAGUGAUCGAAAGAUGAAAAGCACUUUGGAAAGAGAGUUAAAAAGUACGUGAAAUUGUUGAAAGGGAAGCGCUUGCGACCAGACCUGUACGCGGACGUUCAGCGGGGGUUCUCCCCCGUGCACUCGUCCGUGAUCAGGCCAGCAUCGGUUCCGGCGGUCGGAAAAAGGCCUGGGGAAUGUGGCUCCCCUCGGGGAGUGUUAUAGCCCUGGGUGACAUACGGCCAGCGGGGACCGAGGACCGCGCCUUCAGGCAAGGAUGCUGGCGUAAUGGUCGUAAGCGGCCCGUCUUGAAACACGGACCAAGGAGUCUAACAUCUAUGCGAGUGUUUGGGUGUCAAACCCAUGCGCGCAAUGAAAGUGAACGUAGGUGGGAGCCCCCAAGGGUGCACCAUCGACCGAUCCUGAAGUUUACGGAUGGAUUUGAGUAUGAGCAUAGCUGUUGGGACCCGAAAGAUGGUGAACUAUGCCUGAAUAGGGUGAAGCCAGAGGAAACUCUGGUGGAGGCUCGCAGCGGUUCUGACGUGCAAAUCGAUCGUCAAAUUUGGGUAUAGGGGCGAAAGACUAAUCGAACCAU